UAAGGAAUAUUGGUCAAUGGACGAAAGUCUGAACCAGCCAUGCCGCGUGGAGGAUGAAGGUCCUCUGGAUUGUAAACUUCUUUUAUCUGGGACGAAAAAAGGUCUUUCUAGAUCGUCUGACGGUACCAGAUGAAUAAGCACCGGCUAACUCCGUGCCAGCAGCCGCGGUAAUACGGAGGGUGCAAGCGUUAUCCGGAUUCACUGGGUUUAAAGGGUGCGUAGGUGGGUUGGUAAGUCAGUGGUGAAAUCUUCGAGCUUAACUCGGAAACUGCCAUUGAUACUAUCAGUCUUGAAUAUUGUGGAGGUUAGCGGAAUAUGUCAUGUAGCGGUGAAAUGCUUAGAUAUGACAUAGAACACCAAUUGCGAAGGCAGCUGGCUACACAUAUAUUGACACUGAGGCACGAAAGCGUGGGGAUCAAACAGGAUUAGAUACCCUGGUAGUCCACGCCCUAAACUAUGGAUACUCGACAUACGCGAUACACUGUGUGUGUCUGAGCGAAAAGCAUUAAGUAUCCCCACCUGGGAAGUACGAUCGCAAGAUUGAAACUCAAAUGAAUGACGGGGUCAUAGCUGUUUCCUG
rnacentral:rRNA from 1 species